rnacentral:rRNA from 1 species
UACGUAGGGGGCAAGCGUUAUCCGGAAUUACUGGGUGUAAAGGGUGAGUAGGCGGAUUAGUAAGCCAUAUGUGAAAACUCAGGGCUUAACUUUGAGAUUGCAUAAGGAACUGUUAAUCUAGAGUACAGGAGAGGUAAGUGGAAUUCCUAGUGUAGCGGUGAAAUGCGUAGAUAUUAGGAGGAACACCAGUGGCGAGGGCGACUUACUGGACUGAAACUGACGCUGAGGCACGAAAGCGUGGGUAGCGAACAGGAUUAGAUACCCUGGUAGUCCACGCUGUAAACGAUGAGUGCUAGGUGUGGGGGAGAGAUCCUCGGCGCCGCAGCAAACGCAAUAAGCACUCCACCUGGGGAGUACGGCCGCAAGGUUGAA